GAUGAACGCUAGCGGGAGGCCUAACACAUGCAAGCCGAGCGGGAUUUGAGACUAGCUUGCUAGUCUUAAUGAGAGCGGCGUACGGGUGCGGAACACGUGUGCAACCUGCCUUUAUCUGGGAGAUAGCCUUUCGAAAGGAAGAUUAAUAUCCCAUAAUAUAAUGAUUGGCAUCAAUUAUUAUUGAAAGCUCCGGCGGAUAGAGAUGGGCACGCGCAAGAUUAGAUAGUUGGUGAGGUAACGGCUCACCAAGUCGAUGAUCUUUAGGGGGCCUGAGAGGGUGAUCCCCCACACUGGUACUGAGACACGGACCAGACUCCUACGGGAGGCAGCAGUGAGGAAUAUUGGACAAUGGGUGAAAGCCUGAUCCAGCCAUCCCGCGUGAAGGAUUAAGGACCUAUGGUUUGUAAACUUCUUUUCUACAGGGAUAAACCUACUCUCGUGAGAGUAGCUGAAGGUACUGUAGGAAUAAGCACCGGCUAACUCCGUGCCAGCCGCCGCGGUAAGAC
rnacentral:rRNA from 1 species